CCCUGGCUGCGGCUCCUCAGUCGGCGGCGGCUGCUGCUGCCUGUGGCCCGGGCGGCUGGGAGAAGCGGAGUGUUGGUGAGUGACGCGGCGGAGGUGUAGUUUGACGCGGUGUGUUACGUGGGGGAGAGAAUAAAACUCCAGCGAGAUCCGGGCCGCGAACGAAAGCAGUGACGGAGGAGCUUGUACCACCGGUAACUAAAUGACCAUGGAAUCUGGAGCAGAGAACCAGCAGAGUGGAGAUGCAGCUGUAACAGAAGCUGAAAAUCAACAAAUGACAGUUCAAGCCCAGCCACAGAUUGCCACAUUAGCCCAGGUUUCUAUGCCAGCAGCUCACGCAACAUCAUCUGCUCCCACCGUAACUUUAGUACAGCUGCCCAAUGGGCAAACAGUUCAAGUCCAUGGAGUUAUUCAGGCGGCCCAGCCAUCAGUUAUUCAGUCUCCACAAGUCCAGACAGUUCAGUCUUCCUGUAAGGACUUAAAAAGACUUUUCUCCGGAACGCAGAUUUCAACUAUUGCAGAAAGCGAAGAUUCACAAGAGUCAGUGGAUAGUGUAACUGAUUCUCAAAAACGAAGGGAGAUUCUUUCAAGGAGACCUUCCUACAGGAAAAUUCUGAAUGAUUUAUCUUCUGAUGCACCAGGAGUGCCAAGGAUUGAAGAAGAGAAGUCUGAAGAGGAGACUUCAGCCCCUGCCAUCACCACUGUAACAGUGCCAACUCCGAUUUAUCAAACUAGCAGUGGACAGUAUAUUGCCAUUACCCAGGGAGGAGCAAUACAGCUGGCUAACAAUGGUACCGAUGGGGUACAGGGUCUGCAAACAUUAACCAUGACCAAUGCAGCUGCCACUCAGCCGGGUACUACCAUUCUACAGUAUGCACAGACCACUGAUGGACAGCAGAUCUUAGUGCCCAGCAACCAAGUUGUUGUUCAAGCUGCCUCAGGAGAUGUACAAACAUAUCAGAUUCGCACAGCACCUACUAGCACCAUUGCCCCUGGAGUAGUUAUGGCAUCCUCCCCAGCACUUCCUACACAGCCUGCUGAAGAAGCAGCACGAAAGAGAGAGGUUCGUCUAAUGAAGAACAGGGAAGCAGCACGAGAGUGUCGUAGAAAGAAGAAAGAAUAUGUGAAAUGUUUAGAAAACAGAGUGGCAGUGCUUGAAAAUCAAAACAAGACACUAAUUGAGGAGCUAAAAGCACUUAAGGACCUUUACUGCCACAAAUCAGAUUAAUUUGGGAUUUAAAUUUUCACCUGUUAAGGUGGAAAAUGGACUGGAUUGGCCACAACCAGAAAGACAAAAAUAAACAUUUUAUUUUCUAAACAUUUCUUUUUUUCUAUGCGCAAAACUGCCUGAAAGCAACUACAGAAUUUCAUUCAUUUGUGCUUUUGCAUUAAACUGUGAAUGUUCCGACACCUGCCUCCACUUCUCCCCUCAAGAAAUUUGCAGCGCCAGGAAUCAUGAAGAGACUUCUGCUUUUCAACUCCCACCCUCCUCAAGAAGUAAUAAUUUGUUUACUUGUAAAUUGAUGGGGGAAAUGAGGAAAAUGAAAUCUUUUUUUAAAUGAUUUCAAUUUUAAAUGAUUUCAAGGUUUGUGCUGAGCUCCUUGAUUGCCUUAGGGACAGAAUUUCCCCAGCCUCUUGAGCUGAAGUAAUGUGUGGGCCGCAUGCAUAAAGAUGAACAGAGUUUGUGAAGGAGCAUCAUUCUAAGAAUUGAGUGAUGUAGUCUUUAUAUUUGGACAGUUCACCAGAUUCUCAAGAAGGCUUUCAAACGGCUGUAAAGUUUGAUGUUUGUCCUGCUGAGCUUAUGGGGAAAAUGAUAGCAUAAAAAUUGUUUGUAUACCAGCAUAGAUAUCAUUUUCUAACCUUGGUGUUAACAGAAACCAAGCAAAAAUCACAAAUAUGUUCACAAACUGGAAUUAUUUCACAUUUAGUCAGAAUGUCAAAUUGAACAUAUUGAAUGUCUUUUAUAAGUGAAAAAUUGGUGUGUAGCAAGUUGUAAUCUCUAAAAUUGUCCAUGUUUUCAAAAGUUGCGGCUUUCUACUUAACUAGGAAGUUGGUGGUCCUCUUGGUCCCUGAUAAAUUAAGGCAAUCACAUUCAUAUUACCUGGGUGCAUUUAUAAGUUAUAAAGACCUGUUCUCUGUACCUUGAGUAUGAUUGCACUGGUUUGAAGUCAGUUACUUAAUAAUGAGGUGAGAAAUGUAUUGUGUUGCUAAAUCUGUUUUAGACUCUUGGAGAGACUUGAAGAUUUCAGUUUAUACAGACAGAAAUCAAGCAUCUUUUGUGCAGGCUUUUUUUUUUUUUAAUAUGAGAAUAAGGAAAAAAGUGUGUUUUUAAGCUUGUAACUUUGAGAAUCUUUAUUAAGAAAAUGACAUAAUAAAAAAAAAUCUUGUACCAAGAAUAUAUGUGGCCACAUAACCAGUAAUAAAUGUUUUUCUCUUCAUAUUGGCCAAAAGGGAAUGAAAAUAUCAUAGGAAUCUGUACAUAUGCUACUGAUUUGCCUAGAAAAUAGCAAGUUUGGUACUGCUCACUUUGCAAAUAUAGGGCCAUGUGGCACUUUUAUCUAUAGGACAGAUUAACUAAUAAAAAUGAUUGGGGAGGGGUUUAUUUUUGAUAUAUUACUCAUGAGUUUUCAUGCUUUGAUAGCAUUUAACUGAAAAGUGGCUUAGAAAGGGCUAGAUCCAAUGUGCUCACAUUAUCAUGAGAUGCAAUUUUAAGUUCAUUCUUUUUCAAACUCAAGUACCAUAUUGGCAACCAUAAUAUUGUCAUAGGUGCUCUGUUUGUUUAGAUAUGGGGGGGGGUGAAGAAAUGGCAUUUGUAUAAUAUAUGUGUACAUAUAUAUAUAUAUAUACAUACAGUAUAUAAUCUAAAGCUCUGAGAGCUCUUAAGUCAGGAAUGCUGAGUAUUAUAGUAUAUUGAGGUCAGAUGAAAUUUUACAUUUUUGUGUGUCCUAUUGCAUCCCUUCUGAUAGUUUCUAUGACUGCAUUACUCUGGCACUCAAUGAUUGAUUUUAUCUUCUAAUUUUCUUCCAAGUAUUUUAUUUUUUAAUUAGUUUUCUUUGCUACUAGUCACUUGAAAAGUACUCCCCUCUCCCCCCAAAUUUUUUUUUUUUUUCUCCUGCUUUGUCUCUGGCAGCUAUUAACAGUGGUAAGAACACUUUGAAGAUAGCUUUUAAAAGAAACCACUGAUUUUCAAAAAUCAUCCUGGGGGAGGAAUUUUAUUGUUUUAUUUGAGCAGGGAUUUUGUCAGAAAAUGUGUAUUGGCAGUAGGUCAGCAACAGUGCUAGUAUCUGAAAGCACAAUACCAAUCAAGCAGGCUAUCUGAUCGGAAGUCAUCUGGCCAAAGUUUGUCUUGGGACUAAUCCCUACUGUUUGACCAUUUGUGACAGGUGGAAUCAUACAAAGGCUUAGGAAAAAACAAGGCUGUAUAAACCAGGAUGCUCUUACUUACUUGAAGUGACUUCAAUCUAGAUUUCUUCUAAUGUUUAAUGAAGUUUUUAAUUCUGUGAUCAACUAUAGUCAGCUAAUUAACAAAUUGGCCUCUGUUUAUCAAAAGCUGCUUCAUUUUGCAGGACUUACUCAUGUAGUAGAAACAGUAAUUAUAUACCUUUUCAUUUCUUCCCAAUUUUGUUGCUUUUGUAACCCAGAAAACUGUUGCUACAUUAUUUCCCAUUGACCUAAAACAAAAGUUGUAUAUUUAUUUGGAUUAUAUUUACAUUAAUUCUUUGUAAAUGGUUGGUGUAACUUGCACUUUUAAAAAAGACCCAGUUUGGGUAUCAGCAACUUAAGAAAUUUCCUCAUCCAUCAUCAAUUGACUUUUUAGUCUUUCUCUUCUCUCCAAAUCAUGUGAUGUUCUUAAAUGGAAGCUUUUCAUUAAUUAAAACAUUUAGCACCUAAAAGCUUGCCUUAAAAAUGUUGUGAAAGCAAAAUAUAUGGAAAUUCUGUUUGAUUAUCCCAGUUUAAAAAAAGGGACUCAAACAUAAGUUUUUUUCAUCAUGGAUAAAGACUGAAGGGAAAAUAAAAGAACAAUAUUUGUUUCUAAUUUUGAGUAACUUUAUACUCACCCCAACAUUAAUAUCAUGUGUAGUUUGCCAAAAUAAUUCAUUUUUCAGAAUAGUAAAAUAUUUUUAAAGCAAUUAAGUAUUAUUAUGGGAGACCACAAUGUAGUAAUCAUUUUUACUAAAUUAUUCUUAUUUUUAAAUUGGCUUUGUUAACAUUCAAAUGCUACCUAAAUUUGAAUUUCAGAUAAGAAGGGGGAAGUAUGAAGUGUGCUUUAAGAGUAAGCCUUUAGGUAAAAAAUUAUGAAAUGAAUUUGUUCACUCAGUUGUACAAAGAACAACUAGAACUUUUUAUUGGGUGGCUUACAUCUUGAAUAUUGUUAAUAUUAAUAAUAUUGGGUUUUCAGUUGACUAGAGUCACUCUAUGUAUUAGGAACUGGUUUCCUUGACAUUCUAGAAUCAAUGGCUAGGAGAGGCAUUAAUCCUUGAGGGGUUGAACAUAUCAUUAAGUUGAGUCAGUAUGGAAGAAUUCAUACAAAUCAAACAGGGUGCUGCAGUUCCAUCUGUCUCAUCUGCUUAUGAUAAGUUCUUACUGAUGAGUGAAUGUAGCUUAAGCCUUUGUAUGGGUCCUCAGGGGGCAGACAAACUUAAGAGGGACCAGAUAACAUUUGAAUAGAAGAAUUAUAUUUCAGGUGUUUUAGCUUGAAAUUUUAUUUUUUAAAAAAAGAAAAAUUAAAAAAAAUAGAAAAAAGCCUGUGAAGCAAGUUGAUAUUAUAAGCAGGCAGAAAUGUUUAGCACAGAGAGAAAAUAUUGACCUGUCUGCAUCCUUGUACUAUGGGGUGCAGAUCCCAGCUGGAUAAAACAUGAUACAUUUUAAAUUAUUCUCACCAGCAGGUAAAAGGAAAAAGAACAGUCUACAGGAAAUAUCUUUAAAAAGGGUCAAAGAGUAGGCAAUUCACAUUUUGCCUGCUUUUACAGGCAUUAAUUUUGAAGUGUCUGUAGAAGCAUGGCRUUUCUAAGCUGUCUGAGGAGCAUCUCAGAGCUGUGAGAAUAAAUCUGAGAUCGUUUAAAAAUUGGUAGGGAAGGAAGAAAAUCCCUGUAGAUAAUGUUAAUUAACCACACGAAAUUAUCUACCAUUGUGUUGGGAGGUUUUAUUUUCUUACGUUUUAAAAAAUUGAAUUGGUAAAUGCUUUAUAGACAUAUUUUUAUCCAGGUUGCCACUCCAAUGUGUAUGUAAUAAAAUUAUUUAUAAAAUAUUAAAAGUGGGAAAUAAUUUGUCAACAUUUUUCUGUGAGUAUAGAUUUAUUAGGGGUGGCAAAGAAGARUGCUAGUUAGCAAUUUUCCAUUGUGAAGUUGUCCUUGACCGAUUUGUAUGCAUCCCUUGUAAUCCUCCCUUCCCCGUCCAGCAAAAGGAAUUAUUUCUAACCCAGAUGCAUCCCUUGAAACUUUUUAGAAACAGAAUAACCAGGGAAGUUCCUAGAAAGGUAUUUGGAGUGUUUGGUUUUUUGUUUUUUUUUUCCUUGAGGAUUAGUGUAAAGAAUACCUCCCCAAAAACUAUCAGCACAAAACAGGGUAUCAAUUUUUAGCUCUGAUGUUUCUAUUGGAGUUAAAUACUAAGUAAAUAUAAGAUUCCCUACAUUCUAAAAACAUCCCUGUUUUAAUUUUUUAUCUAAAUCUUUUUGUGCUUUAUGUGUAAAGAAAAAAUGUACUGAGUUACAAUGCAUUUUAUUAACACUAUGUACAUAGUAGCUGCUUUGUGUUCAGAAUGGUAGCAAUUGCUUUGUAUAUUAAAGUGAUUCUUGUGAAUUUGUGAAAUAUUGUCAUAAAGUGCUUUUUCUUACUGUAAUCUUUGUGGUAUCAACUGUCAUAAUGCCCUUUUUACACAAACAUUUAU